CGGCACCCUAUAGAACCUAUAGGUAGAAACUGCCACCCAGAACGGCACCCUAUAGAACCUAUAGGUAGAAACUGCCACCCAGAACGGCACCCUAUAGAACCUAUAGGUAGAAACUGCCACCCAGAAUGGCACCCUAUAGAACCUAUAAGUAGAAACUGCCACCCAGAACGGCACCCUAUAGAACCUAUAGGUAGAAACAACAUACUACAACAUACUGAAUACACAAGUAGCGAACAACGUUUUGAAUAUGUUAACAAUUAACUUAAAGGGGAAGUUCACUAUUUUACAACUUUGUCAGAUGGCUUCUCAUCCUGAAAGUAGUCUAUGGGCCAGAAGAAACCUAUCAAUGCUUCAGGGCUUUUUAAACAGCCACUACAAACGUCAGCCAACUUUAGCCACCGCUAGCUCCUAAAAUACUGAACGUCCCCUUUAAAGGAGUUGCUGAGAGAAAAGAGAACUGAAUGUAGGAGUGUUUCCUGCCGUAUGCCAUGUUUGGGAGUGGAAACCAAAGACUGAAAGAACUGGGGAUGGGUGAAUUUGAUGUGAUGAAAAUGAGGAAAAGCUAGAGAAGAGGAUUGAUCUGUAUUGAAAGAGAAACUUCUUCCUGUAUUACUUUGUGAAUUGUAAAUAAAUAGUGGCUAACGGGCAGCGCCACGCAGAAGCAGGGUCUUCUCUUGGGACUGCUGCCCCCACGUGCUGGAGACAAAUUAUCCAUUA